GACGAACGCUGGCGGCGUGCCUAAUACAUGCAAGUUGAGCGCUGAAGGUUGGUACUUGUACCAACUGGAUGAGCAGCGAACGGGUGAGUAACGCGUGGGGAAUCUGCCUUUGAGCGGGGGACAACAUUUGGAAACGAAUGCUAAUACCGCAUAAAAACUUUAAACACAAGUUUUAAGUUUGAAAGAUGCAAUUGCAUCACUCAAAGAUGAUCCCGCGUUGUAUUAGCUAGUUGGUGAGGUAAAGGCUCACCAAGGCGAUGAUACAUAGCCGACCUGAGAGGGUGAUCGGCCACAUUGGGACUGAGACACGGCCCAAACUCCUACGGGAGGCAGCAGUAGGGAAUCUUCGGCAAUGGACGAAAGUCUGACCGAGCAACGCCGCGUGAGUGAAGAAGGGUUUCGGAUCGUAAAACUCUGUUGGUAGAGAAGAACGUUUGUGAGAGUGGAAAGCUCAUCAAGUGACGGUAACUACCCAGAAAGGGACGGCUAACUACGUG
rnacentral:rRNA from 1 species